rnacentral:rRNA from 1 species
UGAAGAGUUUGAUCAUGGCUCAGAUUGAACGCUGGCGGCAGGCCUAACACAUGCAAGUCGAACGGUAACAUUUCUAGCUUGCUAGAAGAUGACGAGUGGCGGACGGGUGAGUAAUACUUAGGGAUCUGCCCCGGGGUGGGGGACAACCAUUGGAAACGAUGGCUAAUACCGCAUAACGUCUACGGACCAAAGAGGGCUUCGGCUCUCGCCCUGGGAUGAACCUAAGCGAGAUUAGCUUGUUGGUGAGGUAACGGCUCACCAAGGCGACGAUCUCUAGCUGUUCUGAGAGGAAGAUCAGCCACACUGGGACUGAGACACGGCCCAGACUCCUACGGGAGGCAGCAGUGGGGAAUAUUGGACAAUGGGCGCAAGCCUGAUCCAGCCAUGCCGCGUGUGUGAAGAAGGCCUUCGGGUUGUAAAGCACUUUCAGCGAGGAGGAAGGGGUAUGUGUUAAUAGCGCAUAUUCUUGACGUUACUCGCAGAAGAAGCACCGGCUAACUCCGUGCCAGCAGCCGCGGUAAUACGGAGGGUGCAAGCGUUAAUCGGAAUUACUGGGCGUAAAGCGCACGCAGGCGGUUUGUUAAGCUAGAUGUGAAAGCCCCGAGCUCAACUUGGGAUGGUCAUUUAGAACUGGCAGACUAGAGUCUUGGAGAGGGGAGUGGAAUUCCAGGUGUAGCGGUGAAAUGCGUAGAUAUCUGGAGGAACAUCAGUGGCGAAGGCGGCUCUCUGGCCAAAAACUGACGCUCAUGUGCGAAAGCGUGGGUAGCGAACAGGAUUAGAUACCCUGGUAGUCCACGCCGUAAACGCUGUCUACUAGCUGUAUGCGGAUUCAUUUCUGUGUGUAGCGAAGCUAACGCGCUAAGUAGACCGCCUGGGGAGUACGGCCGCAAGGUUAAAACUCAAAUGAAUUGACGGGGGCCCGCACAAGCGGUGGAGCAUGUGGUUUAAUUCGAUGAUACGCGAGGAACCUUACCAGGGCUUAAAUGUAGUGUGACAGGGGCAGAGAUGCCUUUUUCUUCGGACACAUUACAAGGUGCUGCAUGGUUGUCGUCAGCUCGUGCCGUGAGGUGUCAGGUUAAGUCCUAUAACGAGCGCAACCCCUGUUGUUAGUUACCAGCACAUUAUGGUGGGGACUCUAACAAGACUGCCGGUGCAAACCGUGAGGAAGGUGGGGAUGACGUCAAAUCAUCACGGCCCUUACGUCCUGGGCUACACACGUGCUACAAUGGAACGCACAGAGGGCAGCAAACCCGCGAGGGGGAGCGAAUCCCACAAAACGUUUCGUAGUCCGGAUCGGAGUCUGCAACUCGACUCCGUGAAGUCGGAAUCGCUAGUAAUCGUGAAUCAGAAUGUCACGGUGAAUACGUUCCCGGGCCUU